rnacentral:lncRNA from 1 species
AGCAGAGGUUGAGGUGAGAAGGAGGAGGCGAUGAGUGAGGGAGGCGUCGGAGCCGGCGAUUCUCGCCGAGGUUAGAGCAGGCGGCGGCGGCAGAUCUUGGAGGGAGAAGAGGCGGUGGUUCUAGGAGAGAGAGAGAGAGAUAAAAAAAAAAGAGGAAUUAUAGAGAGAGAGGGAGGGGACCGAUUUGUGAGGAUGAAGAGGGGCUUUUGUUUUAUCUUUCUUAUUUUGAUUUAAAUUUUCAAAUUGGGCUUAGGUUGUUUUUGGGCUCUCUUUUUUUUUUGUGGGCAAAUUUUAAUAAUAUGAUGGGCCGAUUUUAUUAAG